AAGCUAAUUUCAUCCAUUCCUGACAUCAGGACCAUUUUCUAAUUAGGAAUACCCGACUGGAUAAAAUAAUUACUGAAUGCAGCUGCAAACCCAACUCUAUUACAAGUCUGCCUGAGAUACCGAGCACACAACAAACAACAGCAGCUCCUGCAGAGUUCACACUAGGAACACCUCAGGUCUACAUACAUAUUGUUGAUUGGUUUCUAUUUUGAUUAAGUCUUGCCUCAUUUCGAUUAUCAUAAUGAAAGUAAGGUCAUAAUUAGUGUCAGGAGCACAGCUGGAUUCAAACUCUCAUUUUAUCUUUCCAUGUAAACACUGCAGUGUGAUAUUUGUUUCAAUGAUGUCGUGUUGAGGUAGCUACAUCUGAUUAUACAUAAGGGAACUGUCAUUCAUGGAUUCAACAGAGGGCCCUAUGUUAUUGAAAAGUAUUCUUUUUAGUGUGUAUUUUUUCAUUCCAUCAGGAAAUGUGUUUAUACAGUGUGUAUAGUACCAGUGAAGCCCAAGCCCUGUUUUCUAAACAGAGAUCUGUAUAUGCAACAAGAACCUGUAGCUAAAACAUACGUGGAACCAUAGUGACAUUUAGAGAGUGUGGUGAUGCAAACAAAGGCAACAAGCCAGUGCAGGCAGGAGCAACCAAAUCCACAGUUAACAGUUGAAGUGGCAGUAAAUACAAUUCUUCAGGCCCAUAGCACAAAAUAAGCAUAAUAGAAUUUCAGGGCGUUGAUCAACGCCAAUGACUCAGUAGGAAUCAGAUUAUUAAGACCAAGGACAUCAGCAGAUCAGGCUGAUUCUGGCAGUAAUAUUUGGGACUGUGGCACUUCUCCGUGCUUGCGUCACAGCUGAUAUCUCUGUUAAUGGGAGAGCUAGAAAAACAUGCGACUCAGCCAUGCUGCCCACCAUCUCCCACAUUUCCUCUGCUUUCUGAUUUCCUUCUGGCUCUGUUUGCCAAGGCUCUGCACCUUGGAGUCCAAACUGAGGAGGAGAGGAGAGACAUCAUCUGUCAUCCUUGCUGACACCUCAUUAUGAAAAUGGUGAUUUCCGAGGCCACGCCACAUGGCACGAGGCUGCCAGCCGCUGGCUCAGAUCGCUGAUAGAGUCUGUAAGCCAACAGGGGCAGUCAGGGGAUACUGCUUUGGCUCGGUAAUGUGAGAAAAUGUGUAUGUGUGAUCAAGGAAUAAAGAAAGACAGUAAGAAAAGGUGAACGUACUUUUAAACUAUAAAUCAGACUGAUAUGACAUGAGUUUUGGCUGUUACAUACAAAUACAUACAGAUAGCACUUCAGCACAGCGGCUGAAAAUAUCAAACAUGCCUCACAGCUUCGAAAGGCUUUCUCAGAGCAAGUCUAAUGCAGCCCCUUGGGUCAAGAUUGCUUACUUUUUCUCAGAGAUGAAUGUGCCCUUCAGGGUGACAUCAAAGCAGCAUUAAGUUUGACGCAAACAGAGAGAGGAGCUUCUCUCUGAGCACACUGAAGUCUCUGAUGCUGCAGACUUCAACGAUAAAGACAAAGAAAUAAAAGCAUGUUCAUGGAUUUUGCUGUGCAUGCAUUUUUGGGGAAAUCAAUAUAGUUUUUUCUUAAAGUAAGACCAUGUUACAUUUAAUGAAGAAGUAACACAUUAUUCCUCACAAAAAAAUGUGAAAAAUCUGCUGUUGCUCACUUUUAGGUCUAAUAUUUAGCUUGGAAGCUUGACAGCACCUCAGCCUCUCCAUAUUAGCACUAACACUGCUAUUUUGUUGCAGAUAAACAGUAUUUUUACAUUGUUGUGAUAAAAGCACUGAAAUGUUUAUCUGUGACGUGCUAAUAUACAGGAAUAUCUAUCUAAAGUUUGCUAACAUUAACAGCAUAAGCCCUGAGUGUACUGGAUGUGGUAAUAAGGCUGUGUUUUAUUGCUUAAUUUAACUUCUUUAUGUUAUUUCCUAUUGUCUCAGAAGUUUAAUCGUCUCUCUUUAAAGGUCCCUGAGUCCAGAUGCAACAUAAGCCAGGACAUUAAAUCCACAGUUUGUAUUUUGGAUCCAAUAAAAGUAGCCAAGCAAAGAAGCCAAAUACAGAGCUUUUUGAAAAUGUCAAACCCAUCACUUCACUGGUCUGAGAUAUCACAGUAUAUUUUUAGCACCACUAACGUCUCCUACAUUUUGGCUGCACAAACAUGGACUGUGUCAGUUUAGUUGUGGUACAUGGCUGAAGGUGCAUUUGUCCUCAUCAUCAGUGCCAAUAAUUACAGUUCUUUAGCUUAUUUUUUAUUUUGCUAAACACAAGUCAGUGAUAACAUGAAUGUCAGAAUCUCAUUAAGAAAUUUCAAUAAAAAUUCAAGAGAAAACUUUAUGUUACUGGCAAGAUACACAGUCAGGUGCUGACAGAGGUAGCGCGGGUCGUCCACCAACUGGAAAGCUGGUGGUUCGAAGUUUAUUUUGUGUGUAGAUUGCCAAGCUGUUAAUUUAAAAUGACUAGCUUUAGUUUGCUGUUGCAGUACGUUGACAAAUUCUAAUGUGUUUUGUCAACUGAGAGCCUUUUAUAAAUAGAACUCAGGUUGAUAAGGUUUAGUCUUUUCAAGUAACCCAGUAUUUUUACUCACCUACAUUUCUACUUAAGUAAAAUGUCACAAAUAUGGCACCGUGUCUAACUGAAUAUGAGAUUUUGGCACAUGAAAUAUGAAACAUAAUUUAACUCCUCUGGGAGAAACAUCAUUCUUUGACUGAUCCAGCAGAGAGGUUUUGACUUGAGCUGCCUGGCGGGAUGCUGUCAAUCAUCCUGACAGGCACACAGCCUGAGGGACUGAAAGUGAGGAGGAGCCACACAGAGAAGGUGUUUGCUGGGUUCGUAGCACCUGGAAACAUGCAUGUAAAUAAGGGGUUGAAGGAAGGGCACUCCCUCCAGCUUCUGAUGCCGAUUGACCACCUGUUUAUUCGCACUUGAUUAAUCCCAAAACUUGAUCCUGUCCCUUGUUUGUUACCUUGAAUGAAAUAAUCAGCUACUUACUGAGACAGGAGUUUAUUUUCUGUAGGUGGGAGUCAGUGAGUAAAGGUCAGCUACAUUCAGCUAAGUUUUGGCAAGAGUCUCGAAAACAUCCACUGAGAAACAACAAAGCUGGAAGCUGAAACCAUUCAUCAAGAGUGACAGUGACUCUGAUGAUACUGACAACGUGCAGAAAUGUAUAUGAAACAGAAAUUUAGAAUUCAGACAACCAUUGACAGUGCUUCUAAGCCAAGCAAGGCGUGCCAGAGUAAACCAAAGAAACGUUCCAGGUUUUAUCUCGUGACUCUUUCUUGUCCGAGUGCAGUGCUGCCAGAUUGAACAGCUAAAAAGUAGGCCAAUCAUCAUAAACCACCAUUAGAUAUGAGGAAGAGAGGGUCAGUGUUCAGUGUGGACCAGUAUGUAUGGAGAGGCAAUGCUGAGGAUGUAAAAUCCCUCAGCUGCUGAAGUCAGAAUAUUGCCUAAAGCCUGGGUAAUAUUCAGGUGUUUAAAAUUAAAACUCUAUAAGAUUGAACUGAAAUGAGAAUAUUAACAGAGAUUAUCCUAAAAAUGAAGAAAUAAAAUUGCUCAUAUAUGACCUGCUGAAUAGCUCUGGGUGGUCAUGCAGACUAUAACAACAGACUUGAGUCAAGAGGUCUCUUAGUAUAAUCUCCUCCGCCAACCAUCUUUCCCUCUGCUCCCUGUAGCCAGAAGCCAUUUGAACUCAGCUUAAUCAAAUGGAAUCGAGCAUGGGACAAAUGUCCAAUCAGAAGGAGCACGAAGGGCACGCAGAGACAUGGUGCAUUAAAUUUAUAUCUAACUUUCUACAAAGAGUACUCAAUAUACGUCAGUUUCAAUCUUCAGUUUUAUUUAUAUAGCCCUGAAGUGUGUGUGGUAUCUAUCUUCUAACUCUAAAGCAAAUGAUUGUAUUUCUCAAAAUUUCAAACUAUUCCUUCAAAGAAAGAAACUCUCUGCUCUCAGUCUGUUGUGCUAUAGCAUUAUUAGCAUUUCACACCUGACGAGUCACAUGCCCGAGCCUUUAUUUCACUGUGCAAAUGUUUUUGUGCCUUUUACCUCUGAGGAGUAUGGAGGAGUAGGUGUGGUAUGAACUUACAAACAUUUGACUUUAUUAUUAAACAAGCUAUACAGUUUGUAAAUGUCUUGAGUCAAUAAGCUCAGUUUGCUUAAAUGAUUUGUUCCACAGGUUGUCACUGAAGUCUAAGUCUCUAUAAAAUAAUGUUUUUUUGUUUUUUAACUAGCAACACACAAUACGUUGUGCGUUUAACAACAAUAGUUGCAAAAUAGUUUUGCAUUUACCGCUCAGUACUCUUAUCUGCUUGAAGGCGAAAUUUCCUAUGCAAAUACUGACCCUUUAACUACACUUUUUCAUUGCUGCCCAAUUUGCAAAGUCCAAACAAGCUCAACUUGAUGAGCAAAACAUCGUUCUUUUUUAAGACGUCGGGGUUACAAAGGUCUCCAGUGACAUGGAGGUCAGAGUUAAAAUGAACCCAGACUUCAUAAUUGGGUUUUUAAUAGAUCUGGAUGAAUCAUGGUCUGACAGCCUCACACGUGCAGGCUGUCCUCCUGAAGAGGGAGAUCAAUCAGGCGAUAACAAAGCAUGACAUCAGGGUCAUGGUACUUUAUAUGAACGUUCCCUGAAGCGAAAAUUGGGUUUUCUGUGAUAGAUUGGCACUAGACCAAAGAUGAACAGAGCAAAUGGGGGCUUUAAAAUUGCAGGGUGUGCAAAAUGAGAGCAGUGUAGAAUAUUGAAAGAGUAAUGAGAAAUAUUAAGAUACAUGUGAGAUACACAAUAAUAACUGAGAAAAUAUUUUUUAAUGCGCAUUUUCUGGACAGGCGAUAUAUACGAUCUUUAUUUGCACACUGUAUGUGCAUCACAGCUCCAGAUGGAAGCACCAUAUGUGGACAGACUACUUUACAUGUCAUGUCUCUUCAGUCAAACUCAGACCAGACGCUAUAUGUUAAUAUCAGUGCUGUGCCCCCUAAAAUGACUGAAAUUUCAAAGAGAAGAUCAUGACUCUGAAAUGUGUACACAGCUUUCUUCUAAAAAGAGAGAAGACAGUCAGAUAAACAGGCUGUAUGGGCCUUUUCACAGCCUCAUAAAUGAGCAUUCACAAACAGUUUGAAUGCUCUUGGAUGAAGCAGCCACUACGUGAUUUAAAGCUCCUACAUCCUGCUGCUUUCCUUUUCUUUUUCGUCUGCCGUACAGCGUUUCAUUGUCGGCUUGUUUUCAAUGCAUCUUUGAUCAAAUCAUUUAGAAUCGCCCAGUGAGCUGCAACAGAGCAGAAACCAGUCAAGUGAGAAGCCUUGUUUUACUGUCAAUUGGUUACUAUGCAAACCACGCUCUCUGGAAGAAAUCCCAUUUGAAGUAAAUGCCAUUUUUUAUCAUUUAGCGUUAAACUGUAAUGUCUUUUUUCUGGUUCUUUUUCCUGAGAGCUGAUAUCACUUGUUGGCUGUAUAAUUUUUACUGCUGCAUUUCACUGAUAGGACAUUGAUCGGGCAAGGAAGAGGUAGCCUACUAAUACAGUCAACUUAAUGGCUUAUUGACACAUGCACCUAAUAUACAAAAUAAUUCAGGCAUUUAUGGAAAUGAUAUAUUGGUCUGAAUUUGAGACACGAUUCUUUCCGGAAGGCUUGUACCCAACUCAAAAUUUUAGGAUUUGGCUCUUCAAUGCGAAGAUUUGUUCUUGUUCCUCAUGCAGACAUAAAGUUGGCAUCUUGGUCAUAAUCCUCCUGCACCAUGGGGUGUCUCUCCUGCUGGGCUGCCAGUUUUAACCCACCAUAACGCCAGGAGUUUCUGCUUUAGCUGUGUCUUACCUCUUCAUUCCCACUACGUCUUUACCUCCAUCACAGUUAGUUUUGUGGUUUUAAGACACAGUUGUAAAGUCUGGACAGCAGAACAAAUGUCUGACCGACAAUGAGGCUGUGUUACAUGCGACUGGGCAAUUUUCUUUGGAUGCCAGCAUGCUGUGUUAAAUCACUCGGGUCUGUCUGACAAUUUCUGUAACUUUCCGGAAAACUGACAAUCCAGCAUUCACAGCCACUUCACGCUGUAACUGACCAGCUGUGCAGAGGUGAUAAAGUAAGCAGGGUUUGAACUUUGUUCUCGAGCUCUUUCUUUUUCAUUCUUAACGCAACAAUUUUUGUCAGUUUUCUUGUGAACAAUUUGGUUCAAAACUUUGAAUGUCUCCAGGAAAAUGUGGAUGUCAUCCCUGUAUAUAAAAGAUAGGGCAACGCUUAGUUUGAACCUCUUCUCCCUCCCUCACCAAAGCUGUAAGUUUCAGAUGGCUCAUGCCACUCGUGUUGAAAGAAAUAAAUUCCAACUUCUGACUUCUUCACUGCAGAAACAGACCAAUCUAGCAAACAGCUAAGAAUUACAGCGUUCACUGAAUGUCAUUGUAAGAAGCUCAAAAAGACAGUCUGAAAAAAAUGUUAGCAAUCAAUCUGACCGCUUCAGAGAGUCUGACAGCAGAGUGAGUAUGUGACUGGGGUUUACGUUCUGCUUAAACAGUUUGUGUUUCACUUUACAAGGGAAAAGGCUCCAUUCCUGUCCAACUAUCUGUCUUUAGGAAUCUUUCCCAAAAAAAUCUUUCUCAAAAUUGCAGUGAAAAGGGAGGUUGUCUUAAAGGGUAAUCUCAUAUGCGAGCUAAUACUCCCUAGAUCAUUUUUCAUGUCAGCGCUCUUACAGUAGAUAUGAUAUCAUGAACUUAAUAUGUUGACCUUUCCACAAAUAAACAGUGGAAUAUUGUCAUGCUUUCAUGCUCACAAGUGUUUUUUCUUUCAGCCUGUUAAAUUUUGCACAUUGAGUACGUGUACUUUGUAUUUUCUGUUUAUUACCAACCAUCUCGACACCUAGCUCUAAGUAUCUCUAACCAUCUGGCUGUGAAACACAAGAAUUUCGAGACAAAGACAUCCAAAGAGGAUAUGAGGUUUAAUUGCACUGAAUGUUGUAGCCAUCUGUUCAAUGUGUGACUAGCUACUGGCAUUGCAUUAUCUGUAACUGUCCCAUAUGUUCUAUGUGUAAUUUUAUAUUCAAUUUAUUCCUGUAUUAGAGAUUUAGUUUUACACUAUGGCUCUCCGCCUUGUGUGUGUGAAAUGGAUGUGGGAGUGUGCACGGGUGGUCUUUUAGCUUCCUGCACUGUUUUGGCUAAUAGUUAACCUGCAAUGUGGUAGUCUUUACAGACUGUGUUCUGUCUGCUGAGGUUGUCAGUCCAAAGACACUCACAGACAACCUGUGCCUUCUAUCCACAGUCCAGAGACAUGCAGGUUAGGUUAACUGGUGAAUGUGAGCGUGAAUGGUUGUUUGUCUCUAUGUGUCAGCCCUGUGAUGAACUGGUGACCUGUUGAGGGUGUACCCCGCCUCUCAGCUGGGAUAGGCUCUAGCCAAGCGGUAAGCAGAUAAUGGAUGGAUAAUGGAAGGGAUAUUCUGUAUAGGAUAGAUACAGAAAUACUACAUUGCUAGUCAACCCACGCAAGUUCAUAUCCACAUCACACCUUAUUUCCUAUUCUGCAUUACACCUUGGAAAUAAUCCUUUUGUCUGUCUGAUCCAUCCCCAGCAGUCCUCUUAUUUUAUAUCACCAUUUCUGCAAUGUAGGUGUGUAGCUGUCGUCUGCAUUUUAACAUAAAGGAAGAACAUGUUUGCCCAUUUGAGAGCAGAGGGAAUAAAAAUUCAGAGGUACGUGUUUGUAGCCAGAGCAGUAAGAUGUGAGUUGAAGAACCGAAGCAGUUAAAGACUCUAGAAUUAAAUUCUCUCCAAGACACCCGUUUCACACAAGUGGUACAAAUAUUGAUUAUAGCUGCUUUAAGUCAAAUUCAGUUUGUUCAUGUCUGGGAUGGACCCAGCUGCCGUUAACCUAACCUUGCAGUAGCUCCUCUAAUGACGGAGCCAUAUUUCUUUCUUUCACGUAUAACCCUCACACACCUAUUCACCUGUUUAUCAUAAUGUUAAUUCUCUUCAAACAGCAUCACCAUCAUGGUAGCAGCAGCUGUCAGGCUUCAUUUCACCUGCAGUUUCAAGCUGAUGAUCUCGCUGUCAGAUCUCCUGCCUUCUUGGCUCAUAGCUGUUUAUCUUCAUGGGUGUUGUUGUGCUAAAAUAUCUUUAGAUGGGGGGCAGGGGCUUGAAAUUAUUGCAGCUACAAUACAAACACGAAAAGUUCAAUCCUGGCUUUUCACACUGCGGAGCUCUAAAGAAUAGCCCAUUUAUGGAGAUGAGGCAGAGUUGUUUUUUUCCUCCAUCACUCCACCUAACCGUGAAAGAUUCUGGUCUGAGAGUUGAGCGUGAAUGAAUUAUACUCCAGCUGAAAGUUUGUUAAGCCUUAAGACUCUAUCAACUUUCUCCCUGUCUCGAGGGUUUGCUUCACUGUCUGUCUGCCAGCCUGCUUACAUUUCUGUAAUAUCCUAGACAGAGAGGAGGAACAUGUCAUUAUAUUUCUUUAAGGUACACAGAAUCAAGAUGUUUCACUAACACAGUUUGCUGUCUGAUGAUCAUUUAGCUGACACGAGGAGACUAAUUACAAUUUAUUCAUCCUGUAAAUUGAGUUUUUACACAGUUGUUAAUUGGUUUUUAUUGCCUGUGUUUCAUGUGCUGCUCCCCAUCUCUGUAUCCUGGAAAUAAAGGUGCCUCACACUCAAAGGAGUUUCAUCCGGUUAUCCACAGAGGACUUCAUAAACUCCCAGUGUGGGACUGUUGAGUGAUGAUUUAAUUUCAUUCCUUUUUGUGUCUUUAGCCACUGAUUUAUUUAUGAGAGCUUCUUUUGGAAAGGAUCAUACUUCAGAUGACACUAAAGACUGCAGCUUUCUGAGCCUGCAGCAUUGCCAAUAGCCUCCCACUGAUCCACUGUGGUAGAAAUAAGAUCAUUCUGAGAGAAUUGUGAAAUAAAUUAAUCCAAGUCGAGCAAGUGUGUAUGUGUUGAUGCUAAGGACGUGUUUAACAAAAUAUCCUCAGUCACCCACUUCCUCCUAGUCUCUUCAGCUGGGCUACCACUGUGUAAGAGCACACCAACACCAACCAACACCACCUGUGAAGGGAAGAACCACAAGGAAGAGUUUCUGGAUCUGAGUGAGGUACUUUAGCAGAGAUGUCUCAAACACCACAUGAGUGCAUGCAAGAUGAUCAUUAAUCAUCUUGAAAAGUCAACUUUCCAUCUGACAUGUCGCACAGUUUAUUUAUUAGCACAAACAUUAUCAUCAUCAUCACUGCACUGUGUGUGUUUCUGUGUUAUUAUUGUGCGUGAUCCACCGAGGAACGGACUCUACAGGAUCUCUGAAGGCUCCUGUUGUACCUGUGCACAUCCUCUAAGUCUGCCAGCUGCAGUGACCUGGCUUCACCUUCCCAAGUGAUCAGGUAGCCGACAGCCACGGUUCGCCAGGGGCCCCACACUCUGAUCUGCUGAGUGGGUGAAACACAUUGAUUUGAGCUGGAUUCAAACUGGAACCAUGGACCCAUCACAGAGAGAAGAGACAGACGUGAAGAUGUUGUCAGGUCUUCAGCUGCUGUCGUCUUCUCCUCCUGCACAGACAACAACACGCAUUGAUCACACAAACUCAUCUAAGCGAGUAGGUGGAGCAGAAUCAGUCGAGCAAUCAGCGUUUCGUUUGCCGACGUUGGCUGGCGUGUGACGUCAUCGUUCUGGACCACGAGGAGGAGAGCAGGUCGGUGGAGGAACAAUGGCGAACAGUCGAGUGAAAAUGGAGAUUAAAAUCAACGUUUUACGCCACCUUCUUUACCUGGGGUUGUUGUCGCUGUGAGAAAGUUUGUUGCCGAAGAAGCGCGGAUGUUACAACGAGCCAGUUACAAGACACGCCGAGCUCACCUGCAGCAGGAGGAGGUGAGGACAAUAAACAACCAUCACCAAUAAAGAAGAGGCCAGAAGAUCCAGGACAGGUGUCUCUACUUUGUGCAAUGCAGAUGAGAUGAAGAGGGAGAUAAGAAGGGGCAAGGACAGCUAUGGGAGGAAGCCGGAGGAGCGUCUUCAGGGUAACGAAACCAGAGAGGUGUGGAAUCUGGCAACAGGGAACCUGAAAUCGACAUCACUCACAGCAGGGGUCAGUGCACAUCCCUGCCUUUUCAUUACAUCUGACCAGGUGAGGGGGGUGUUGAGGAAAGCUACAGGACCUGAUGGCAGCUGUGUGAGGUCUUCUGUGGAAAACAUCCUGUGUGGUCGCAGUUCUGAAGAGUGGAUAUUCUAGUGAGCUGAAAGAUUUCAGGACAGCAGUUGUAAGUUGUCACCUGAUGAAGAUGCUGUUGUCUAUGUGCUGCACAGAUGCCUUUGUGUCUCUGUCUUGCUCUUUGGAGUCCAUUGAGGAGUUCUUGUAGGCAUCAAGAGAUCCUGUAGAAAGAGUGAGAUGUUGGUUGUGACUGCAGAGAGUGUUCACACAACGAAGUAGUUCUUUUGGACCAGGACUGAGGCUUCUAGGUAAUUCACAGUUUCAUCAUUUGUGUAAUUAUACAAGUAGUUUGUACAAGUUGAGGCACAAAUAGUACGUAGAGUUUUGAACGUGUGCGUUUGUGAAAAACAGAUGCUUUGUUAGAUGUUGAGUUGCAAGUGUUAUGAUGAUUUUGUCCAGGUAAUUGCAAUGUGCUUAAUGUGAAUUGUGUUAGGCAGAGCAUUGAGUGUUGUUUAUGUUUAGUAUUUCUUCUCAUGUGGAUGUUAUGGUUUGUUGAUGAUUGUCUUGCUAAUAAAGGGGUUUUGUUUGUGUGUGUUUUUUUUAUACUUUUAUGAUUUUUUUUGUUGGUUUGGCUGAAAUUUUGGGAAGGGAGGAUUGAAGUUGAUGGCAAGUUUUUUCUGAGAUGUGUUUUUAUGCCAGAUUUCGAUGAAUUUGUUUUGUUCAUUGCUCAAAACGAUGGUUUAAGAAUUGUGGGGGAGGGGGGGUGGUGGUGGUUAUUUUGUAAAAGUGUGAUUUUAAGUUUGU